rnacentral:lncRNA from 1 species
AUAAAUGGUGAUAUUUCGUAAGUUCUUCAGGAGCAAAAUUAAUUUUUUCUAAGUUCUUCGGGAACUAAGAUUAUGAAUUCUUCGGGAAUUCAUGUAUUAAAUGUCUAAGUUCUUCAGGAACUAAGAAUAGGUUCUUUAGGAACCAAGAUUAUGAAUUCUUCGGGAAUUCAUGUAUUAACUUUCUAGGUUCUUCAGGAACCAAGAUUAUGAAUUCUU